UGCGGCGGCGGGCGGCCUGUAACGUGUGAAGACGUUUUUCCAUCUACUGAUAAUAAAUCCUGUCUCCAGUAAUAGCACAUGAAUGAUUGUGAGUUGUUGGCUAUGGUUAAUCGGAAGAAGCGGUUAAUAGUAGAAAUCAAUAUAGACAACUGAUGUUCUGUAAUGCAAUGCAUAGUACAUAUUUAUACUUCCACCUAGCUUAACUAUUCCUUCCAGAACAGUUAGAGACCACUGAUUCUGUUGAUCUACCGGUGGUAUUCAUGUAGUUGAAUACGAUAUGCUGUCAAAAUUUUAUAAAAACAGACAAAACUAUGUCAAUUUUGUUACCACAAAUUUUUAAAAUUUUGUUUAAAUUUUAG
rnacentral:lncRNA from 1 species